rnacentral:rRNA from 1 species
AUUGAACGCUGGCGGCAGGCCUAACACAUGCAAGUCGAACGAGUGGCGGACGGGUGAGUAAUGUCUGGGAAACUGCCUGAUGGCGGGGGAUAAAUACUGGAAACGGUAGCUAAUACCGCAUACCAUCAGAUUGGCCCAGAUGGGAGUAGCUUGUUGGUGGGGUAACGGCUCACCAAUGCGACGAUCCCUAACUGGUCUGAGGGGAGGACCAUCCACACUGGAACUGAGACACGGUCCAGACUCCUACGGGAGUCAGCAGUGGGGAAUAUUGCACAAUGGGCGCAAGCCUGAUGCAGCCAUGCCGCGUGUAUGAAGAAGGCCUUCGGGUUGUAAAGUACUUUCAGCGGGGAGGCGUUACCCGCAGAAGAAGCACCGGCUAACUCCGUGCCAGCCGCCGCGGUAAUUC